GAGAGUCGUGUGGGCCCAGGUAUCGUAGCGGCGACACGAGAGAGACGGCCGGUGUGACAGCCUUCCACUACCUGCACGAGUGUAUUGGUCUGUCUGCUAUCAGCUAUGCCGCUGCCCGUUGCGCUGCAGACCCGCUUGGCCAAGAGAGGCAUCCUCAAACAUCUGGAGCCUGAACCAGAGGAAGAGAUCAUUGCCGAGGACUAUGACGAUGAUCCUGUGGACUACGAGGCCACCAGGUUGGAGGGCCUACCACCAAGCUGGUACAAGGUGUUCGACCCUUCCUGCGGGCUCCCUUACUACUGGAAUGCAGACACAGACCUUGUAUCCUGGCUCUCCCCACAUGACCCCAACUCCGUGGUUACCAAAUCGGCCAAGAAGCUCAGAAGCAGUAAUGCAGAUGCUGAAGAAAAGUUGGACCGGAGCCAUGACAAGUCGGACAGGGGCCAUGACAAGUCGGACCGCAGCCAUGAGAAACUAGACAGGGGCCACGACAAGUCAGACCGGGGCCACGACAAGUCUGACAGGGAUCGAGAGCGUGGCUAUGACAAGCAGUAAGCCGAAAGGAUGAAGAGUUAGACCCCAUGGACCCUAGCUCAUACUCAGACGCCCCCCGGGGCACGUGGUCAACAGGACUCCCCAAGCGGAAUGAGGCCAAGACUGGCGCUGACACCACAGCAGCUGGGCCCCUCUUCCAGCAGCGGCCGUAUCCAUCCCCAGGGGCUGUGCUCCGGGCCAAUGCAGAGGCCUCCCGAACCAAGCAGCAGGAUUGAAGCUUCGGCCUCCC
rnacentral:sRNA from 1 species